rnacentral:rRNA from 1 species
GACGAACGCUGGCGGCGUGCUUAACACAUGCAAGUCGAACGGUGAAAGCGGAGCUUGCUCCGCUGGAUCAGUGGCGAACGGGUGAGUAACACGUGGGCAACCUGCCCCUCACUUCGGGAUAACUCCGGGAAACCGGGGCUAAUACCGGAUAUGACCUCCUUGGGCAUCCUUGGAGGUGGAAAGUUUUUCGGAGAGGGAUGGGCCCGCGGCCUAUCAGCUUGUUGGUGAGGUAGUGGCUCACCAAGGCGACGACGGGUAGCCGGCCUGAGAGGGCGACCGGCCAACCUGGGACUGAGACACGGCCCAGACUCCUACGGGAGGCAGCAGUGGGGAAUAUUGCGCAAUGGGCGAAAGCCUGACGCAGCAACGCCGCGUGCGGGAUGACGGCCUUCGGGUUGUAAACCGCUUUCAGCAGGGAAGAAGCCGCAAGGUGACGGUACCUGCAGAAGAAGCACCGGCUAACUACGUGCCAGCCGCCGCCGUAA